rnacentral:rRNA from 1 species
CCUACGGGAGGCAGCAGUGAGGAAUAUUGGUCAAUGGGCGAGAGCCUGAACCAGCCAAGUCGCGUGAGGGAGUACUGCCCUAUGGGUUGUAAACCUCUUUUGUCGGGGAGCAAAAGCCGGACGUGUCCGGCUGUGAGAGUACCCGAAGAAAAAGCAUCGGCAAACUCCGUGCCAGCAGCCGCGGUAAUUCGGAGGAUGCGAGCGUUAUCCGGAUUUAUUGGGUUUAAAGGGUGCGAAGGCGGAUUUUUAAGUCAGCGGUAAAAUCGUGGGGCUCAACCCCAUCCAGCCGUUGAAACUGGGGAUCUAGAGUGUGCGAGAGGUAUGCGGAAUGCGUGGUGUAGCGGUGAAAUGCAUAGAUAUCACGAAGAACCCCGAUUGCGAAGGCAGCAUACCGGUGCACAACUGACGCUCAGGCACGAAAGCGUGGGUAUCGAACAGGAUUAGAUACCCGAGUAGUC